UCAGGGUCAGACUUUUGGCUUUGAUCUGGCAUUAGGGGCGUGGUAUCAACUGUGAGGGGCGUGAAAUAUGUGAGUGACAAGCAUAACAAAGAAGGCUGGGGACCUUCCCUACAGGAAACACAGGUAUGACAAGCCGAAUGAUCACUCAGGAUACCGCCCCCGUGUGACCUAUAGUACCAUAUACCUGCUGACAGGUGCCACUUUCAGCUUGAGUUGAUACUGCUGUUUACUUUAUACACCAACAUAACGUACCUUCAUUUGACUGUCGAGUGCACGGAACGAUAUGAUGGGUGUUAAAAGUUGUAAUCAACGACCUGUGAUAAAAGCUGCAGCUAACCUACAGCCUGCUGUGGUCUUCACCGAGUCGUCUUUGGUAAGGUCUCAACGGUACGGCAAGCUGUACAUGAAGAAGUCCAGGACCUGGAGGUUAUACACACUGAAGGUUGUCUGCCACGGACCGGAGCACUGACACCAGACAAUACCCGUCAAGAGCUAGAGGAGCAAGUCAGCAGAGGACUUGCUGUCAUGUCACUUCACGACCCACCUCCACCCCUGCACCACACUCCGGCUGCCUGGUCAUGUCCCAUCAAACUGUCCAACCAGAAGCCCUUCAUGAGACGUCCCAACUUUGUGCUCCAUUCCUCAUCACCGCCACCAGUGUCUUUGCUCUGUGGGGGAAGUCUCUUUCGUAUCAUAGCACCAAAUUGUUGGAACAGCUUCUACUGGCGUUCUACUUCCUGCUGGGGUCUAAGCGCCAUAGUUUAUUCCUCCUGCUCACUAUAAACUCCAAUUUACUUAUUCUCAUUUGAUUCUCAAUACGUCUCUCCUCAUUGAAAUGGCAGGUACUUGUAAGAGAACAAGCCUUCUGUUUUUUUUGGCACAUACAGUAGGUCAAGUGUGCAGUCAAAGAAAAAUGACUGACUGGAAGUUCAAUUUACAACUCACUUGUAAGCUUCAAUUAUCGAGACCAGUCUGCUCAUGUUCUCUUAACGAAGUGAUGAGGCAACGCCACAGAACUUCUACUUCUUUUCUCCUGUAAAUUCUAUUAAACUAGUUGAGCCCAUUCUCCAAUGCUGACUGCAAUGAUGAGAAUGUCAAGUGUCUGAGUUGGCUCAACAGACAGCGAAACAGAUGUUACUUGCAGGCUUUGGUGUAUCAUAAAACUCCCCCUGGUGAAACUCUAAUGUAACGGUCCUUUGACUCAGGAACCUGAUCUGCACUUUUCUCCAUCAAGUUGCUUCUCUCUUUACGACUUCUCCCUCCUCUGAGAUUUUAACUCUUUGGCUUGACAGCAAAAAUAAAAAGUGAAAAUAUAUAUCUUUUGAAAAUUAAUGGCCAUAAUUAGUGUCUCCGCUUUUAGUUAAGAUUAGGCACUGAUCUAUAGAUCACAGACCAGUGAGGUUAAAUUGUGGAUUUAAAUGUAGAACUAGGUUGGGAGCUAUUUUGUGGUGAAUAGCAGGCUGGGUUCCUCCCUUGUAACAUGGCCAUUAAAUUACAACUCUGUCUUGAUAAUUGAAAGCAUCUGGAAGGCUUUGGCUGGAUGGGACAUGUGAAGCUUUUGCUGGAGCCGGAGCAGAGAAGCUGGCAAAGCUUAGCUCUCUCAUUUGAAUUAAUAUCCCCAACACCUGUCUUUGGGGAAAUUAAUCAGUGUUACUGUAAGCGGCUUUCUUUCUUCCUCAAACCUUGCUGAUUUUUUACUUUACUGACCCCAUCUGGCAGCUCUUUCUCCCUUUCCCCAUCGUCCUUCCCAUACUCUCCCUCUGUAGAUUAAUUGCUCAGUGAUACUGUAUGUCAAAGACUGCUGUGAGUUUCCCUACCCAGCUGUUUGAAAACGGAGCAGUCAGCAGGAUUUGACUCCUCACUUGCCACCUCUUAAGCUCUCCCUCCUACCUUAUCAAGAUCUCCUUCAAGGCCCCCUCUUUUUGUCCUUUACCCUCUUCCUCUGCUGAUUUCUGUUGCAAAUUUCCCAGCUGGCACACUCACGACGUGGGCAAUUUAUGUUUUGUCAUUGCUAUUUUUGUUGCAGGUUCAACAAUUAUUGUAUGUUUUCAAAUAGUGGCCAAAAUAAGAACAGCUUAUUUUCUCAUAGAUGAGUUUCUCUGACCUCCAUUUUUACUGUAGAGGAACUCACAGCUUACUAAGGUCUGUUGAACUUCAUUUGUGGUCUGAAAACAAAGUCAACCACAGAUAAAAUGCUUUUGCCCUGUUUAUGCGUACUUUUUCAUAACACGAGUUGAAGUUACAGUGCCAAAUAAUAAUGUUCAUCAUCAGUUAUUACUUAAUGAGCUUUUUUUGACACCAGAGUACAUAAAUAAACACAGCAGGUUCCGUGUGAAGUGCUGCAUGACUCACUGUUGAUCACUAAUGUGAGCCGGAAUACCAUCACCAAAAUUGUCCAUGAGUAACAUGUCUGUCAAUGUAAAUUCAUGCUUGACGGCUCGUAGUGUGUUUAUAAAAGGCUGGUGUGCAGAUAGUUUAAAUGUUAAACAUCAGAACUUUAAACAUACAUUCAGAACCUUUUCAAAAACACCUCAUGCUGCCCAAAGCAGCCGGACGAGGUCGAUAAAUUAUUUGCAGUUGCCACAAUUACAGAUGUUGCACAUUCCUUUUCCUGAUAUUUUUUGUUUUUAGUUCAAAUCUGUCACAGUGACUACCUUGUACCCUUCUUAAAUUAACUGAACAACUCUGCAAGAGCUUUUUAGGUUCAGUUUUAUUCUCACCAAUUGAGGACAUCAUGCUUGGCAUAUUCUAAUUUCCAGGUUGUGGCUUUUCUUACUGCUUGCUAUCAAGAAUAAGUCAUUGAAGGAGGGAGUGAAAGCCAGAGAGGCUUAUUGAAUACAUAAAUCACUUCCUGGAUAGAGGGUAUGUUGUUUCAUUGCAAAUGGAUCUCUGCCACUUCUCUGUAAAUCACCAUACACCCAAACAGAUGUAGUACCACUCGGAGGCAGGACUCCUAUGUAGGCAAAGAGAAAAGAUAUUACCCUGUUGCUUUCUAUAUCCUUUUCUCCCAUUCCUCUCUUGCAGGGAUUUGGGGUUUGCACAGCAUUGAAAGACAGGCAGUAUUUAGGUUACCGCUCUUGCUCCCGCCUCUCUCCUCUCUGGGUAAAGGGGCACUUGCUCAGCACAGCAGGGAUACGGGAGUGGCAUCAAUCCCUGACGCUGAGCAAAGUCACCAAAAGUUCA